UGCCCAUCAAGGUCUUAUUUUAGCAUAUAAUAACUCACCAACAGCAACUCUUUAACUGUUCAAACUACAUACACCAAACUAACUUUCACAUGUUCAGACUAUCCUAACAUUUCCUUUACCCUACUUUGUCAACUAUGACCAGUUACAGUACCACCAUUACUACUGCAGACACUACCACUACAAAACUAAAUGUCCUCUCACUGUCAACUGUGUUUAUUUUCAGCAAACUUAACAUAUAUAAACAUUUGUAUGAACAUAACAAGAUUCAACAACUGAGACAUAAACUGAACAAGUUCCACAGACAUGUGACUAACAGAAAUUGAAUAAUGUGUCCCUCAAAAUCAAAAGUAACAGUCUGUAUCUGGAGUGGCCACCAGCUGCAUGAAGUACUGCAGUACAUCUCCUCCUCAUGGACUGCACCAGAUUUGCCAGUUAUUGCUGUGAGAUGUUAACCCACGUUUCCACCAAGGCACCUGAAAGUUCCUGGACAUUUCUGGGGGAAUGGCCCUAGCUCUCACCCUCCGAUCCAACAGGUCCCAGACGUGCUCAAUGGGAUUGAGAUCCGGGCUCUUUGCUGGCCAUGGCAGAACACUGACAUUCCAUUCCUGUCUUGCAGGAAAUCACGCACAGAACGAGUAGUAUGGCUUGUGGCAUUGUCAUGCUGGAGGGUCAUGUCAGGAUGAGCCUGCAGGAAGGGUACCACAUGAGGGAGGAGGAUGUCUUCCCUGUAACGCACAGCUUUGAGAUUGCCUGCAAUGACAAGCUCAGUCCGAUGAUGCUGUGACACACCGCCCCAGACCAUGAUGCACCCUCCACCUCCAAAUCGACCCCGCUCCAGAGUACAGGCCUCGUUGUAACGGUGUAACACUCAUUCCUUCAACGAUAAAUGUGAAUCCGACCAUCACCCCUGGUGUGAUGUUCGGAUGUACCGAUCCUGUGCAUGUGUUGUUACACGUGGUCUGCCACUGCGAGGACAACGGGCUGUCCGUUCUGUCUCCCUGUAGCGCUGUCUUAGGCAUCUCACAGAACGAACAUUGCAGUUUAUUGCCCUGGCUACAUCUGCAGUCCUCAUGCCUCCUUGCAACAUGCCUAAGGUACUUUCACGCAGAUGAGCAGGGACUCUGGGCAUCUUUCUUGUGGUGUUUUUCAGAGUCAGUAGAAAGGCCACUUUAGUGUCCUAAGUUUUCAUAACUGUGACCUUAAUUGCCUACCUUCUGUAAGCUGUUAGUGUCUUAACGACCGUUCCACAGGUGCGUGUUCAUGAAUUGUUAAUGGUUCAUUGAACAAGCAUGGGAAACAGUGUUUAAACCCUUUACAAUUGAAGAUCUGUGAAGUUAUUUGGAUUUUUACAAAUUUUCUUUGAAAUACAGGGUCCUGAAAAAGGGACAUUUCUUUUUUUGCUGAGUUUAUAAUGUAUUUCAAAACCAUACACACUUUGAAACAAGCAAGCAAACACAGCACAUUUUCUUCAGGAUAUGUACUUUUCAGUGAUCACUGUAAGCCUAAAGAGUCUAUUUAUUAUUAUUUAUUUAUUUAUUUAUUUCACCUUUAUUAAACCAGGUAGGCUAGUUGAGAACAAGUUCUCAUUUGCAACUGCGACCUGGCCAAGAUAAAGCAUAGCAGUGUGAACAGACAACACAGAGUUACACAUGGAGUAAACAAUUAACAAGUCAAUAACACAGUAGAAAAAAAGGGGAGUCUAUAUACAUUGUGUGCAAAAGGCAUGAGGAGGUAGGCGAAUAAUUACAAUUUUGCAGAUUAACACUGGAGUGAUAAAUGAUCAGAUGGUCAUGUACAGGUAGAGAUAGUGGUGUGCAAAAGAGCAGAAAAGUAAAUAAAUAAAAACAGUGUGGGGAUGAGGUAGGUGAAAAUGGGUGGGCUAUUUACCAAUAGACUAUGUACAGCUGCAGCGAUCGGUUAGCUGCUCAGAUAGCACAUGUUUGAAGUUGGUGAGGGAGAUAAAAGUCUCCAAACUUCAGGGAUUUUUGCAAUUCGUUCCAGUCACAGGCAGCAGAGUACUGGAACGAAAGGCGGCCAAAUGAGGUGUUGGCUUUAGGGAUGAUCAGUGAGAUACACCUGCUGGAGCGCGUGCUACGGAUGGGUGUUGCCAUCGUGACCAGUGAACUGAGAUAAGGCGGAGCUUUACCUAGCAUGGACUUGUAGAUGACCUGGAGCCAGUGGGUCUGGCGACGAAUAUGUAGCGAGGGCCAGCCGACUAGAGCAUACAAGUCGCAGUGGUGGGUGGUAUAAGGUGCUUUAGUGACAAAACGGAUGGCACUGUGAUAAACUGCAUCCAGUUUGCUGAGUAGAGUGUUGGAAGCUAUUUUGUAGAUGACAUCGCCGAAGUCGAGGAUCGGUAGGAUAGUCAGUUUUACUAGGGUAAGUUUGGCGGCGUGAGUGAAGGAGGCUUUGUUGCGGAAUAGAAAGCCGACUCUUGAUUUGAUUUUCGAUUGGAGAUGUUUGAUAUGAGUCUGGAAGGAGAGUUUACAGUCUAGCCAGACACCUAGGUACUUAUAGGUGUCCACAUAUUCAAGGUCGAAACCAUCCAGGGUGGUGAUGCUCGUCGGGCAUGCGGGUGCAGGCAGCGAUCAGUUGAAAAGCAUGCAUUUGGUUUUACUAGAGUUUAAGAGCAGUUGGAGGCCACGGAAGGAGUGUUGUAUGGCAUUGAAGCUCGUUUGGAGGUUAGAUAGCACAGUGUCCAAGGACGGGCCGGAAGUAAAUAGAAUGGUGUCGUCUGCGUAGAGGUGGAUCUACGCAUUAGAUACAACUACAGCUAGCUAUCAGUAGGCCUGAAUACGAACCUAUUCUACCUAGUUCUUCAACGACCACAAAAAAUACUUUUAAAGAGCUGUCAUCUCUAGGUGCACCAUCACAUUUCUCCCUCCAAAUAAUAUCGUAAAACGUUCUAAUCAUUAUAUAAUCAUUUAACUAAAAUCAAACUUCAAUCACACGGAACAUUUUACAAAAGUAAAUUGUGCAUCGACUUGUCUAAAACCCACAGCAUGAAUGAUUUGGAGUUGCUUUACUUUCCUAAGUGUUGUCCACGUGAUCCUGCUUUACUUUCCUAAGUGUUGUCCACGUGAUCCUGCUUUUUAUUCCCACCUUCUGACAUCUUCGCAUUGUCCUGUCUUUCUGCUGUUAUUUUUCACACGCAACAACAGUAGUUCAGACAUUUUUGUGAUACAGCUGCCCCGCAAUCCAGUGUAACGUGGUUGAUAUGGUCGUCUAUCAAAGCAAUCAAAGCAAUCAUUUUACUACAGUGCCUUCAGAAAGUAUUCAUGUCCCUUGACUUAUUCCACUGUUGUUGUGUUACUGCCGAAAUUGAUUAAAUAUAUUUUUUAUUUCA